GUUCUUUUAUUGAGUUCAAAUACUGAUUUCCUUUUUGUUUUUCUUACUUUGCAGCUAUGAUGAAUAAGCUUUGACGAAGAAGAUUUUGCACAAGUUAAAACUUGAUAAUUUUCAUGUUAACCAGAAAGCUAUGUAUUUGAACUGUUCAAGUCAUCUAUGCCCCAUACCUGCGCAUAGGGUACGAUAAAAGGGGGUACACAGGGAUGAACUUGUCCACUACCUUAAUGAUCCACUGAAGAAAAUCAUGUAACCCUCUCUUGCCCAUUCUCUCGCAGACACUUUUGAAGACUACAUUUAACUCCUUUUGUUG